rnacentral:rRNA from 1 species
ACGGAGGGCGCAAGCGUUAUCCGGAUUCAUUGGGUUUAAAGGGUGCUUAGGCGGUUCUUUAAGUUAGAGGUGAAAUCCCGUGGCUCAACCAAGGAACUGCCUCUGAUACUGGAGAGCUAGCGAGUAGAUGCUGUUGGCGGAAUGUGUGGUUUAGCGGUGAAAUGCUUAGAGAUCACACAGAACACCGAUUGCGAAGGCAGCUGACAAAUCUAUUUCGGACGCUGAGGCACGAAAGCGUGGGGAGCAAAAAG